UGAGGAAUAUUGGUCAAUGGGCGGAAGCCUGAACCAGCCAAGUCGCGUGAGGGAAGACGGUCCUAUGGAUUGUAAACCUCUUUUGCAGGGGAGCAAGACCUGUACGUGUAACAGGUUGGAGAGUACCCUGAGAAAAACGCAUCGGCUAACUCCGUGCCAGCAGCCGCGGUAAUACGGAGGAUGCGAGCGUUAUCCGGAUUUAUUGGGUUUAAAGGGUGCGUAGGCGGGCUGGUAAGUCAGCGGUAAAAAUGCGGUGCUCAACGCCGUAGUGCCGUUGAAACUGCCGGUCUUGAGUGAGCGAGAAGUAUGCGGAAUGCGUGGUGUAGCGGUGAAAUGCAUAGAUAUCACGCAGAACUCCGAUUGCGAAGGCAGCAUACCGGCGCUCAACUGACGCUGAGGCACGAAAGCGUGGGGAUCGAACAGGAUUAGAUACC
rnacentral:rRNA from 1 species